UGAACUAUUAAGCCGUAACACAUGGCUGACAUCUGGAACUCACCCGCAAGAUUUUGUCAUUUGAAUAUUGGAAGCCUCAGCUUGUUACUCUCUUCCCUCCAGGAUGUAGCCACACUUUCUGCAUCCAGAGCUCAUAAAAACAGAGAAUUAUAAAAUGGACAAGAGGACCCACCAUUGUGUGUUUUGCAGCAGGGACUCACUAUGAGGUCCCAAGCACUGCCUCUUGGAGCUCCUGGGGCGUCUCCAGGUAGGGCAGCUUUGCAAAUGGACUCAGCUUCCACCAGGGUCAGGAACAACACUAGGUGCUGACAUCACCAUGCUCUUCAGAAAUCACUUGGAGCUUGGGAACACAACAAAGAUUGCUUAUCCAUGCCUGAAGUCAAAACGUCUUUAAAAAUUCUUGGCUUUUCCUUUGUUUUCCUAUCAGUGGUGCUGAGAUGCAAUGGUAUGUGAUGGAUGUGCAGGGCCAUUCACCGGAGUGCUGAGAAGGACAGCUGCCACUGCAAGCACUCCUUUGAUGGUCAGUCCCUCAAGGCAUCAGUGAUAGACCCGACCUCUCUUCCUGCCCCAGGGUUAGAACCCCAUCUCUGGUGCCAGCUCUUGAUUGGUGUCCCCAGCAUGCGCAUGCUUCCAUCCUGGCCUGGCCAUCAGCAGGGUCUGCCUUGCCCAGUGCAGUGUGGCAGCUUCAGUCUGGCUUUGAGUGAGCACUGGCUGCCUACUUCCCCUGGCCAGGUGCUGCAGUAGUAAACAGUGAUCUUACUACUUAUCAAAUAUGCAUGGAUAAUCAACCAGCUCUCCAGAUCCAGUUAUUUUCUCAGAUAUUUCCUUUUCCCAUGAGUUGUGGGUCUCCCCUGGGAUAUCACACUUUCAUUUCAGACCUGAGAAAAUUCUUGAAUACUGAAAACUGGUGUGUGUCUCUCCAACUGUUUAGUAGGUGUAAUAAAAGAUUUUCCCCUCUGUCCACAGGCAUUGUUGUUGUUUCAUAUUCUUAGGUCUUUGCACCCUGCAGCCACCAGCAUCUCCACUGCCAAGCUGCAGCAAGUUGCCCAACUGCUUGUACUGCAACUGAAAGCUCAGUCACAUCAGCUCGAAGUGGUUCUGGUCUUUCUGAAGAUAUGUCAAGGCAAAUGGCUGACAGUGCCUCUGCCCUUUCCCCUUUACAGGCCUUGGCAGAGGUGGCUUGUUCCUCAGGCCAUGCUGUGACAUUUUCCCGGUGCUCUUGUCCCCAGGCUUUGAGGACUGAGGCAUCCUACCUGAGGCAUCCUCCAUAGCUGCCAUGCUGGAGGAGCAGUGCUUUGGCUCUGUUCUGCAGGCACUCUCACUCCUCUUAGACUGAAAAUUAACAAGUAACCACUUGCACCUUGCUCUGUAGUCAGAGCAUUUAGAUGAAGCAAACUGGAGGUACUGCAAGUGCUGCAAGUGGGUACUUUAACAUUUUAAAACAAUUUUCCUUUAUUCCACAAAACCAACGAUGGUGGACAUAAUAUACUGUGUUGAGACAGUGCAUUUAUAUGUUAUGGCUAAGCCCAUUUUUCCAUGGGAGGACAUCCAGCUCCAUAGCACCACGCCACAUUAGAUAUUGCUACACCAAAAAAAAACAGGCUGAAGCAGAGUGCAUUUGAUACUUAUGGUCAUGUGUAUUUUGUGGUGAAGCUGUUUGUAAGACAAAGAUUAAUUAUCUAGGUCACAGACUGCUGGGAUUUUCCAGCCACCCCAAAUAUAUAUUUUAUAUUUGCUCCAGGGUUCAAUUUCUGUUAUGCCACAAUUGCAGGCUCUUCCCCUGACUUGGCUGUAUUUUGAUUAGUGGUAUGAAAGUCCUAUCUGGCUGCUAAUUUGAGGUUGAUAUAAAAUAUCUCAGUGUUUCUCCCGGGAUUUUUUCAUUCUUGACUGACCUUCUUGUUGUGUCAGCUGAAGAAAUAGUGCAGUUCCACAUCAGUGCCAGGCUGCAGCUCAGAUAGCCAAGGGACAGGUUGGGAUGGGUCCUAGUUUUGGAGAAGCUAUCAAAACAUGUGGAAAUGCUUAUCCAGGGAAAACAUCAGUGCAGGGCUCCACGAUGAGGCUGGUGGGUGAGCAGCGUCCUCCCUCUUCAGAGCACAAGCCCAGCAGACAGAGCCCGCCAUCCAAUAUUUCCUAAACAGGUUACAUGCCUGGCCACCUGGUCCAGGAGAGAGAUCAAUAACUGCAGUGCCUACAUAGAGAUGCUGGAGUGGUGCUCAGGUCCCCGCAGGCUGCACCACACCAGGGGCCUCAGCCUGGAGGGGCAAACCUCACACCUCACUUGUGGCUUACUUCCUCACUGGACACAGCACGUGGCCGAACAAAGUUAGCUGGACAGUGGAAACAGCCAGAAGCUCAUCCCGGCUAGGGAAGGCUCCUUCCCAAAGCAGAGCUAACCUCUGCUGGCUGCUGAGAGCUCCUACACUGGGACAGUGCACUGCCAGUGGCCCUGUACCCAGCCACAUACCCAGCUUCUCUGCAGGCUUUGGAUGGCUGCCCCUCUAGGGCAGGGGUCCCAACCUUUCCUUUCUCCUUGUAUUUUCCUAUUAUUUUUAAAAUACGGGCAUUUCUGCACAAAGGACAUCAGCUCUGAUGUGACCUUUGCAUGUUCUCAUGCAGUGCAAACCUUUUUAUUUCCUGAAUGGCUUGCUCUGCUCUUGAAUUAACUCAACACAAUGGAUUUUGUCCAAGUACAUUCUGUUUCUUGACAUGAAGCCAGGCUUUGCUGGGUUGUGGUGCUGUUUUCUUCUCCCUGCUCUCCUCCCAGUUUCUUUAUUAUCAUCCUCAUUACUGACUGUUACUGGAUCCAUGCAGCCAAGCGGGGGAGAGCAAGCCCCUGCCCAGGCCUGCCUCUGACAGCAGCUGAAGUGAGCACACUGCAGUGGUGGUGAACGCCUUCCUCAAUGAGCCUGUACAUUGAGCUGUCCCACGCCUGGCCUGGCACUGGAAGGUAUGUCUGCGACCAGCUGAAGCAGAAAACAUUUGAACUCUACAAUCUGCCAAAUAGCUUCCAGAUGUGCGAGAUACAGCCUUGCUGUGGACUCCGACUGUAGCUCUGCCAACAUACGUCUGCACAUUUCUGGUGCACAGGGAGCACAAAAGUAGAUCUUUUACAACAUCUGCUGCCUUUCCCCAGUUCUCCCUCCCUGCUUCUUGUAGUUCUAUUCCUGUAUUUCAUCUUUCUAUAUAUAAUAUUAGGAAAAGAUUCAAGCCUUUCCACUGAUUUAUUAAUUAUUUCCUGCACAUUUCAUACCUAGCUGUGCUGGCAGUAUGGCAGAAAGAGGAAAAUACAGAGACACCUUCUGCUUAGACAGCAAGCCUGUGCUCAGGUCCUUUAAUGAAUUCUAUAUUGAUUCAGGGCUCAGCUGGGUGCUCUUGCAGAAUCAAAUCAUGAAAUGGUAUCAAAUUUCACGGAAAAGGGGCUUUUGUUAAAAAAAGCUGAUAUUUAUCUUAAUGUCACAGUAAGAAUUACUGUCUUAAUUCUCAAGGCACCUGGCGUUGUGGGAUGGCAGAGCAGAGCUGGCCAGAAGAGGUAAGGGAGGGAGCAGAGCUGCUGGGGAUUAGGUUAUGUGAUAAUGAUGCGAUAGCAGCUCUAAUAUUCAAAUAAGGAAAAUUACCACUUUAUAAGUUCUUACUUUUAAAGCAAUUCUCUGGCUAAGAAAAAAGAUAAUAAAUGCCUUCCUUUUCUGCUGUCCCCAAACAAAAAGGAGUGGUUAUCUCUUCAGGUUCACUAAGACUCCACAAGUAGUGGUUGUUCACUGUCCUUUGUUCCUACAUCAAACCAGUGUAUUCUUCAAUAAAUACUUAUCUUUGGAGCCCA